rnacentral:tRNA from 1 species
UCCCUGGUGGUCUAGUAGCUAACACUCUGCACUCUCAAUGCAGGGGGCCAGGGUUUGAUCCCUGGUUGGGAA